UACCCGCAGCUCAAGUGGUGGUCAUUAUUAUUGGGCCUAAAGCGUCCGUAGCUGGCUUGUUAGAUGCCUGGGUAAAUCGAUGCGCUUAACGUAUCGAAUUCCGGGUAGACCGGCAAGCUCGAGACCGGGAGAGGUGUAGGCUACUCGAGGGGUAGGGGUAAAAUCCUGUAAUCCUUCGGGGAGGACCAGUGGCGAAGGCGCUACACUAGAACGGCUCUGACAGUGAGGGACGAAGCCCUGGGGCGCGAACCGG
rnacentral:rRNA from 1 species